rnacentral:tRNA from 1 species
GACAGCUCAAUUGGUAGAGCAUGAGGCUCUUAAUCUCAGGGUUGUGGAUUCGAGCCCCAAGUUAGGCA